UUAUCCAUGAAUGUUGACUCUGAUAAGGGGAUCCUGACCAUGAGAGCAUCUCUCUGUCUCGGUCUCCGGCGCUCUUUGCGUCCUUUGUUUUAUCUCAGGUGAAUUGUAAUCAUGUGAUCAAACGAACACCCCCCUUCCAUUACCCUCUUAAAUGAAAAAAUGAGGAACAAAAAGCACUUCUGUGUAUAUAAAAAAGAAAAGAAAAGAGAAAAGACGCGCGUCUCCCUUUAGAGCGUCUUUUCUCCGUGUCGCUUCAAACGUACACAUAUAGCGGGAAAGCGCCGCGCGUCUCCGUCUCCCGGCGGUGUGGAUGUACGCGGGAAUCGCGCGGAUCUGAGGCCUGCUGCACGCUUUGAUGUGUGUGGUGUUUAGUGAAGAACCAAAGACUUCAGUAAACACACAUCAGAUGUUUACAGAGCUCUUGCUGAUGGUGAUAUGGAGCAGAUCCAGAGAAAUGAGCCCUGAGGAUCCUGUGCUGUAAUCUGAGACGUCCGUCCGUCUGUCCGUGUGUGUGUGUGUGUGUGUGUGUGUGGGAUUAAUAUGACAACAGCAUGCACACACAC